UACGUAGGUGGCAAGCGUUGUCCGGAAUUACUGGGUGUAAAGGGAGCGUAGACGGAAUUGCAAGUCUGAUGUGAAAAUCCGGGGCCCAACCCCGGAACUGCAUUGGAAACUGUAUUUCUAGAGUGUCGGAGAGGCAAGUGGAAUUCCUGGUGUAGCGGUGAAAUGCGUAGAUAUCAGGAGGAACACCAGUGGCGAAGGCGGCUUGCUGGACGAUGACUGACGUUGAGGCUCGAAAGCGUGGGGAGCAAACAGG
rnacentral:rRNA from 1 species